rnacentral:rRNA from 1 species
CGAGCGGAUGAAGGGAGCUUGCUCCUGGAUUCAGCGGCGGACGGGUGAGUAAUGCCUAGGAAUCUGCCUGGUAGUGGGGGAUAACGUCCGGAAACGGGCGCUAAUACCGCAUACGUCCUGAGAGAGAAAGUGGGGGAUCUUCGGACCUCACGCUAUCAGAUGAGCCUAGGUCGGAUUAGCUAGUUGGUGGGGUAAAGGCCUACCAAGGCGACGACGGGUAGCUGGUCUGAGAGGAUGAUCAGUCACACUGGAACUGAGACACGGCCCAGACUCC